rnacentral:lncRNA from 1 species
UAAACUUAAUAUUAGUGAUACAUAAUUAUUAAAACAAUUUGUGUACAUACCGAUAUAUAGCAAUACAUACCAUUGUUUUCAAUGUUAUCUACUGAUGCAUAUAACCAUACAAUACAUUAGUUGUGUGAGUGAGUAUGAGCGAGUGUAUGUGUCUGAGUGACUGAAUGUGUCCAUGUGAGUGUGUGUGUGUGUUCAUGAGUGUGACUGAGUGUGACCGUGUGUGAGUGACAUAUAUAUUGACAAUAGUAUAAACUGAUAAUAAGUGUAUAUAUACGGUUAUGCACUUUACACAUACACACAUAUCAGUAUAUACACAUCAUAUAUAUACAGACAUAACGCUCACACACUAACAUAUAACAUUGUAUUUUUAAUACACAAAUAACUGUAUAUAAAGCUGAUAACUAAUGUUAUGUAACGAUAAAUGCAUCAGUAAAUAAAUAUACACUGAAAACAAUGGUAUACAUUACUAUACAUCAAUACGUACACAAAUUGUGCUAAUAACUAUAUAUAGCACUGAUAAUAAAUGUUUACAUGGUUUUAUACAUUAGUGUAUAUAUAAAUCGUUUAUACAUAUCCAUAUGAGUGUACGUAUUUACAUAUCAGUGUACUUAUACGUUAAUAAAUGUAUAAACUGAUAAUAAGAGUCUACAUGGUCAUAUAUAUCAAUGUAAAUAAAAAUAUAUGUGUGCACUAUCAACACUAAAGGGUGCAUGUGCGUACGCAUAACAAUGUAUAUAUAACUGAUAACAAGUUUAUACAUACACGAAUAAACAUAUCAGUAUAUACAUAUUGUAUACAUAUACACACUGUAUAUAUAAUCUAAACAGCUAAUGAGUGUUUAUAUGGCAAUAUAUAUCAGUGUAAAUAGAAUGCACGUAUUAGUAUCUACAUAUACAGUUAUGAACUUAUCAACGCGUAAAUGUGCAUGUACGUGCACAUACAAGUGUACAUAUACAUUUAUAAUUGUACUUAACAGAUACAAAACAACUGUAUACAUACAUGCAUAUACGUAUAGAAUAUAUAUCUAAGUGUGAAUGUGAGUGUAAGUGUGAGUGUAUGUCUGCAUGUGUGUGUGAGUGAGUGUGUGACCGUGUGUCAGUGAGUGUGAGUGUGAGUGUGAGUGAGUGUGUUUAGUAUAUAAAUCGGUGUACAUAAACGUUAAUAAUUGUAUAAACUGAUAAUAAAUAUAUAUGGUCAUAUACAUCAAUAUAUAUAGAAAUCUACAUAUUAGUGCACUAUAUAUAUACAGUUUACACAUGCACACAUAUCAAAAUAUACACAUCGUAUAUAUAUAGACAUCACGCACGCACAAACACAUAUCAACGUAUUUUUUACACGCUAGUAACUAUAUAUAUAACUGAUAACUAACGUAUUGUACGGUUAUAUGCAUCAGUAUAUAUAUAUAUAUACACUGAAAAUAAUAGUAUAUACUACUAUACAUCAAUACAUACACAAAUUGUGCUAAUAACUUUAUGUACCACUGAUAAUAAAGUAUAUACAUGGUCUUAUACAUUGGUGUACACAUAAACCGUUUAUACAUAUGCACAUGAGUGUGCGAAUAAACAUAUCACUGUAUAUAUACGUUAAUAACUGUAUAAACUGAUAAGGGUGUGUAUAUAUAAAUGUUUGUAUGCACUAUCAAUACGUAAUGGUGCAUGUGUACAUGCAUAUCAGUGUAUAUAUAACUGAUAGCAAGUUUUUACAUACAUGCAUAAACACUUCAGUAUAUACAUGUCGUAUAUAUACACACUGUAUAUAUAUACAAAUUGAUAAUAAGGGUCUAUAUGGUCAUAUAUAUCAGUCUAUAUUAUAAAUAUACACAGCAUAUAUGCACUUAUCAACACGUACGAGUGCAUGUGUGUGGGAAUAUCAUGUGUGUACAAACAUUAAUAAUUGUAUAUAACUGCUAGUAAUCAACUGUAUAAAAUGAAGCUUGCAAGAUCAAGAUCUCAAAUAUGAAUAACAUAAAGAGAUCUGCCUCGAUGAAAAGCUGCUUUCAUUGUUGUUGAUUUACAAGCAAACUCGAUGAAGAUGAAACUCAUCAACAAUAAGAAAAACAAGUAUAAAUAAGAAAAAAAAUUUAGAUAGUCUAUCAUAAUUGGGUAUUUAG